AUGAACGCUGGCGGCGUGCCUAAUCCAUGCAAGUCGAGCGAACAGACGAGGAGCUUGCUCCUCUGACGUUAGCGGCGGACGGGUGAGUAACACGUGGAUAACCUACCUAUAAGACUGGGAUAACUUCGGGAAACCGGAGCUAAUACCGGAUAAUAUAUUGAACCGCAUGGUUCAAUAGUGAAAGACGGUUUUGCUGUCACUUAUAGAUGGAUCCGCGCCGCAUUAGCUAGUUGGUAAGGUAACGGCUUACCAAGGCAACGAUGCGUAGCCGACCUGAGAGGGUGAUCGGCCACACUGGAACUGAGACACGGUCCAGACUCCUACGGGAGGCAGCAGUAGGGAAUCUUCCGCAGUGGGCGAAAGCCUGACGGAGCAACGCCGCGUGAGUGAUGAAGGUCUUCGGAUCGUAAAACUCUGUUAUUAGGGAAGAACAAAUGUGUAAGUAACUAUGCACGUCUUGACGGUACCUAAUCAGAAAGCCACGGCUAACUACGU
rnacentral:rRNA from 1 species